AAUUUUCCACCAAAAUCAUUUAUAAACCUAAUUUCCGAAUCAGUCACCUCUUAAAAUUCAUAACAAAUCAUAUGCUCAUUUUUAACGGUUCAAAAUUUGUGGACAUAUACUCAACUUAUAUAUGUAUAACAUAUCCAAAAAUUACAACGAUCCAACGGUCGGAUUAAAUAUUAUAACUCACACAAUAAAGCUGUAAUAACACCGAUUUGAUCUUUUAAUACCUCCAAUCCGAUAAAAUACUGAUAAAACACCUCAACAUUAACUCUUUCAUUUAUAACCACAUAAAUAAAUCCAUCAUUUAUAUCCAC
rnacentral:lncRNA from 1 species